rnacentral:rRNA from 1 species
GACGAACGCUGGCGGCGUGCUUAACACAUGCAAGUCGAACGGAAAGGCCCUGCUUGCAGGGAACUCGAGUGGCGAACGGGUGAGUAACACGUGGGUGAUCUGCCCUGCACUUCGGGAUAAGCCUGGGAAACUGGGUCUAAUACCGGAUAGGAGCCAUUUUUAGUGUGAUGGUUGGAAAGUUUUUUCGGUGUUGGAUGAGCUCGCGGGCUAUCAGCUUGUUGGUGGGGUAAUGGCCUACCAAGGCGGCGGCGGGUAGCCGGCCUGAGGGGGUGGACGGCCACAUUGGGACUGAGAGACGGCCCAGACUCCUACGGGAGGCAGCAGUGGGGAAUAUUGCACAAUGGGCGCAAGCCUGAUGCAGCGACGCCGCGUGGGGGAUGACGGCCUUCGGGUUGUAAACUCCUUUCGCUAGGGACGAAGCUUUUUGUGACGGUACCUAGAUAAGAAGCACCGGCUAACUACGUG